CUAAGCGGGCUCUGGGCAGCAGUCGGCCGCGAAACCCUGCCACGGCCGAGGGCGGGCGGGAGCUGCGUGUGUCUGUGUGCUGGCGGGACGGUGCUGAGGAGUUCCAACGCCGCCCGCCAUGGAGUGGGCUCUCGAAUAACCUCAGCCUCAGUGGGAAGGCAUCGCCCCUUGUUCUCCCUGGGCUUCUGGCGGGCAGCGAGCGCCUCUCGAUGAGAAUCAACUAGAAACUGAAUCACUUUGAGAUUUUUACUACUGGCAUUAAAAUUCCAGUGGGAAUUACCUAAGCAGCGACUUGUCAAAAAUGCGUAAAGGUGUUUAGCAGCUACGUACUGGG